rnacentral:lncRNA from 1 species
GGACAGGGGACCACCCAGAUGUACCUCAAAUGUUUCGGCUAGAAUUCAAAUAAUCACAUUUGAAGAUGCUAGACUGCUUCACAUCAGAGGUGAGAAGUGUAUGUGCAAAAUAGUGGAAACUCUGAGGGGCUGGGAGGAGCAGUUCCCGGAAGGAGGAGUGUCUUCCUGCUGAGAAGCCCGAGAACGUAUUUAUUGAUUGGAGAACGCCGUGAAUGUAAAGUUCGGGAGUUUUGCAGUUUAAUCUGACAUCUGUCAUUCCUGGAAGAAUGAACAGUUCAAAGUAAAACCUCGUCCAUAUUGAUAUGUAAGAACAACUCUGGGUUAGUAAAAAUGGGGCCCAUGAGAUCAGGACCGGGAGAGCUAAGACAGAGCAAAGGUCUUCCCUGCAGCUGCUCCUAACACGUGGACCAAGCGAAUUGCCUUGUUGGCAGGAUUAAGACAAUGACCUACUGAAAGCAGCUAAUAUAAUGUCUGGCUCAAAAUGGAGACUCAAAAACAUUAGUCUCUUCUCCUUUCAGAGAGUAGGGGAAGAUUUGAAAGCAGAUUCCUGACUCCUACAGAGGAAAAAUGGGUUGGAAAAACACAGAUGUGUCGUUCUGGUGUGCAGAGAAGUUGAAUUUUCUGUUUUGGGGAGAGGGAUUUUUUUUUUUUUUUUUUUUUUUUUUUUAGGGAGAGAGCAAAGCCAGCGUGGCUGCACUGUUUUUCAUCCCUUCAGCUGUGCAGAGACCCAGCUCUCUGAUCUCCCUAGGCCCCCGUGGUUUUAGCGGUGUCACUAGUCAGCCUGGCAGCCGGAUGCGCAUGCGCGGUGUCCGGCUCUGUGGAGUGCCGCGGAUCUCGGGCCCUGUCUCAGGUUCUACCUCUCAGAUCAGUCUUCUUAAUCCUUCACGUUGAACUAAGAAGGGCAUCACAUCUGGUCCGGAUCCCAGUAUUACUUCUUACCAGUUCUUUCUUGCCCUGGAGAUGCAAUGAUUUUAUGUCUAGUGGUUCAUAAGUCACAAGAUAUCUGGAAUUAGGUGGUAAGUAUUUUUCUUUCUUUAGUGUGAGCCUAUAAAACCUCAGCAGUUUGUAUUUUAAGGCAAUCAAAACUAAAUGGAGUCUUGUGUAAUUGGUUCCCUCUUUCUAAUGUUUCCAUAAAAACAAAGUACUAUAGACAACCCCUGAAAAUGUAGAGACCUUUUGCUUCCUGAAUGUAAAUGGAAUGAAAAUUAGGUUGGGGGCACUCUCCCUACAUACAUAUAUAUACAUGAAAAAUAUCACUUCUGGCUUUGUGCAACGACUAUAGAAUGACCAGAAAUUUGGGGAAUAAUUGGAGUAAUUAUUCUUCUUAAAGAUGAAGUGCCAAUAGAAAAACUUUUGGAUAACUGGAGCUUUUAGAACACCAAAUUGAUGACAGAGUGUUACUAUUGUGUGUACUCUCUUAGAAAUAUCUCUGAAAAUAAAAGGGAUGGGAGAUAAGACCA